GACGAACCGUGCGAACGUUGUUCGGAAUCACUGGGCUUAAAGGGCGCGUAGGCGGUCGAUCAAGUCCGGGGUGAAAUCUUUCGGCUUAACCGGAAAAGUGCCUUGGAUACUGAUAGGCUGGAGGGAGGUAGGGGGAGCUGGAACUUCCAGUGGAGCGGUGAAAUGCGUUGAUAUUGGAAGGAACUCCGGUGGCGAAAGCGAGCUCCUGGACCUCUUCUGACGCUGAGGCGCGAAAGCUAGGGGAGCAAACGGG
rnacentral:rRNA from 1 species